UCUCUCCCAAAUACCCCCAAACCCUCAAGGCUUUUCCCUAGCCCCUCCUAGGUGUUAGUGGCGAGUUCCGGAGCACCAAAAGGCCCCGAGAGGAAGAGCUUCCGGCUCAAAAGUUCUGCCCGCGAAGAGCUCGGUUCUUCGCUAAACCCCCUUGUUUGAGAUAUACAGUAUUAUCACAUUGUGGAAUUGAAAUCCCUAUGUACUCACCAGGUUUCCCAACCUGACCCACUCAGUUUAUUGUAUGACAUGUAGCUAUACGAAAGAUGCAUUCUGCUGCAAGAUUCAAGGAGUAUUAAGUCACUAGUUUAAUUACUAUAAGGCUUGUAAUAUUUUGUAUGCUUAUGUUUUUGUAUUGACAAUGGCAUCCCAAUGUUUUAAUAUAAAUAAAAUACACUUCUUCGGAUA